rnacentral:rRNA from 1 species
CAGUAGCCGCGGUAAUACGAGGGGUGCAAGCGUUAUUCGGAUUGAUUGGGUGUAAAGGGUGUGCAGACGGCUUAUUAAGUCACUCGUUAAAUUCUUCGGCCUAACUGAAGGUCUGCAAGUGAUACUGAUGAGCUAGAGGGUGGAAGAGAGAAGUGGAAUUCUCGGAGUAGCGGUAAAAUGCGUAGAUCUCGAGAGGAACACCAAUGGCGAAGGCAGCUUCUUGGUCCAUUCCUGACGUUCAUACACGAAAGCGUGGGGAGCAAAUGGGAUUAGAGACCCCGGUAGUCCCUGUCUCUUAUAC